UACAGAGGUCUCAACCGUUGUUCGGAUUCAUUGGGCGUAAAGGGUGCGUAGGCGGGUCUUUAAGUCAGGGGUGAAAUCCUGGAGCUCAACUCCAGAACUGCCUUUGAUACUGAAGAUCUUGAGUUCGGGAGAGGUGAGUGGAACUGCGAGUGUAGAGGUGAAAUUCGUAGAUAUUCGCAAGAACACCGGUGGCGAAGGCGGGUCUCUGGGCCGAUACUGACGCUGAGGAGCGAAAGCGUGGGGAGCGAACAGG
rnacentral:rRNA from 1 species